rnacentral:lncRNA from 1 species
GACUCGUACUUGGUGACAUUUUUGAAGAGUCCGAGCAACAUAGAGUACUUGCUGUUUUUACAUAGUAUCGUCGUGGGGCUAAUUAUUGGUGACAAUAACAAGAUUUAUGGAACUUAAUAAUGCAAUGAAGUCUUUCUUUUUGCUAAUUUCUGUUUUGUGUUAGCAUUAGUAUUUAGUAGUGAACACAAAGAUGCUUCUUGUAGCUCCAGGAAUCGCCUUCAGUGUUCAUAACGUUUUCCGCUUGGAGCUUAAGUGAGGUGAGUUAAUUUUCUUCAUCUCUUUGCCUUUCUUACAUGUUACUCUCAUUUUCUUUUUUCCCUGCCUUCUCCCCCUCUUCUUAAUUUAGUUGAUUCGUGUGUUUAGAACUGUAAACCGUUAUCUUUGUGGAACUUACUUGCAAUAACUUUAGAACUUAUUCCCAUUGAAAGGAAUGGCUGGAAAUGGAAGAAAUCAAUUGUGCUGGAUGAACUUUUGAUGUAAGUGAGCACAUGGAGGGGACUAUAAGGAGUGUAUUUAAUUAUGAUUGAUUAAAGUAUUACGGGACCACGUUUAUUUACAGUUGGGAGAUAUAUAUGAAAUGGGGCAAAGAUUUUAACCAAAUUUUUUGCUAUACGAAACGAUUCUCAAUGCACAUAUUAAUUCUUACCCAAGAAAAUUGGUGGUUGAGUAGAAAACAAAGAAAAAAAAUGAUGAUUAGAAAAAUCAUGAGUUAGACUUUGAAGUGAGGUACCUUUCGUCAUUUGUUCCCCUAGACAAGCUAUUGUGGAACUAACUCUGUAGUUGUGCAUUGUACUUGCUAACAAGGCAGAUCUGAGGUCAGUCUAACCUUGUAGUAGUGAUGAGAAGGAAAAAGGCGAGAAAUGUAUGUACUUGGAGAUAAAUGUGUGUGACCUGACUUAUUGUUUUUCCCUUAUUGUUCUAUGUUCUUGUGAGACAACCUGUUCAAUUCGCUUGUUAAUCCUUCCGUUAGAUAAAUGCAUGUGACCUGAUUUAUUGAAGAUAUUGCAUCUUUUUAACUUCUCCAAAUUGACAGUAGUUGGGGAAAGAAACGGUAAAACAGGACUGAGGUUGGCCACAGUGUGAGUUGUCUGAUUCAUAUUAUUGUACAAAUACAGUAAGUGGUUAUAUUUACUCAUACACAUGUUCGGUAACAAUAGUUUCCUAUACGUAUAAGAACAGAAACUACACUUAAUCUUAUCCCAUAGGCCGAGAAAGGUAGAUUGACAGUUUGCUAUAAUGUGUAGAGGUAUUUUCUUUGUUCAGUUUUCUGUCUGAUAUUUUACUUUUUAGCUGAGAGGCUAUUUUGAAAUUGAAAAACAUCUAUUCAGUUACUGAAGCGAGUAAGAUUGUUGAGAAGUUCUGCAUUUAAUUGAUCCGCUGCAUAUGCCACAUGACCGAAAGAUGAUACAUGUGGAAUUUACGUCAUAGGUUUUGCUCAACCACGAGUGAAUUUCCUUCUAGGCAAUGCUCAGAAUCAUUUCUACCAUUUGUAUCUUGGCAGGAAGAUUCUGUUCUCCUCUGUACUACUAAUUAUCCUAUGUCGUCUUCAUAUGCUUAUCUCCUUAAUCCAACAAAGUGGUCAACUUUGUUUCACAAGAAAUCUGUUUUUUCCUCAGAAGUAACCAACAACAUACCCAGUGUAAUCCCACAAGUGAGGUUUAGGGAGGGUAGAGUGCACUGUAUGCAUGCAGACCUUACCCCUACCUCGUAGAGAUAGAGAUAUUGUUUCUAAUAGAACCUCGGUUUUAGAUAAAGCAUUUCCAAGCAGUUUGAGAAAAAUAAUACAUACAUUAAAGAAGUAGCAACAACGAACUAAUGUGAAUGCCUCAAAAGUAACCAACUGAUGAUAAUUAAAACCUGUCACUCCCAUCAUCUUCAAGUCCUUUUCCAUAAGUUACUCUAAUAUGAAAAACAUAUAAAUUGUCCUAAUUAGAAACUCAGUGCAUCUGCAAGGAAGUUAAAUGACUUUGUUUCUACUUCCACAAAAUACUUAAAACUGAAAAUUCCGAUCUCUUUUUUCCUAUUCCUGUGGUGUCUUUUAACAGUCUAAAAAGGUUCGACAUGUCUGCAUAAGUUCUAUUCCCAUUAGACCAGACACUUAAUAAUGCUAUAACAUUUUUCACGUCUGAUAAUAACGGCUCGUUGUUUUUAGCUGUAGUCUUCACUCCUAAAGCUAUCCUACAAGUUAUAGAGUACCGGUUUGGUGACUUAGUGGUUUAAUGUGUUUCG